AUCCAGAUGACGAAUCCCAAAUAGGACGAAACGUGCGUCCCUGAU
rfam:Schistosoma margrebowiei strain Zambia genome assembly, scaffold: SMRZ_contig0000099